AAAAUGACUCCCAACAACAAAUAUCUCGGCUCUCGUACCAACGAAGAAUGUAUCGAAAUGUGAUACUUGAUGUGAAUUGUAAAAUCUUGUGAACCAUCGAGUUUUUGAAUGCAAGUUGCGCCCAAAGCCAUUAAGCUAAGGGCAUGUCUGCCUGGGCGCCACGUAUCACGUCACCCC
rnacentral:rRNA from 1 species